rfam:Citrus sinensis cultivar Ridge Pineapple sweet orange scaffold01233_contig_4, whole genome shotgun sequence.
AUACAAUGAUGAGGACAUAUCCUGAAUAACUCCUUAAAUUUCUCCCAUGCAUUAUAUAAACUCUAAUAUUCAAGUUGAUGGAAAGAUGUGAUCUCAUUCAUUAAUUU